rnacentral:lncRNA from 1 species
ACAGGAAAUAAAAGAUAAUAUUAACAUACUUUGUUUGAGAGAGCUAUCUGAUGAAAAAUAUCAUAGCUGACAGAGAGAGAAUAAAAAGAAAUUUUGUCAUUCCUCUGUUAUCCUUUAAGUCUUCAUUCCCUAGUCCCUGUCAGAUGAUCAUCGAUGGGACGGGAGAUGGAUUCACUUUCUCUGCUGUAUUUUCCUAUCGUUUCGAAUAUAUUCUUUUCUCUGUCUUGACUAUCUUUUUUCUCCCUUUUCUUUUCACAAGGACAAUUUUAAACUUAAAACUAUAAUAAAAUAUAUUCUAGAAUAGAAUGAUAAUUGCU